rnacentral:lncRNA from 1 species
GAAGAUGCAUAGAUUUAAUUUAAUUUAAUUUUAUGGAAAGACUAUAUAUCAAAUGUAAGUUUAAUCUAUUAUGAACUCAGAAUUGUGGGAUCAGAGAUUCUUCUCUCAGUUAGUUCACAAAUGAACUGCAGUAAAAACUUCUGGAACCUUUUGUUAGUGUUUGAAUCCUUAGCUGGGUUUCUAUGGAAGAUUAGAGUAGAGAGGAAAAAACAGAGAGAAUAGAGGAAGAUUCAAGCUAUAUGUAUAAUGCUCUACUACUCUCAAAGUCUGAGAGUGAGUGUAUAUUCAGUAUCAAAAUUCACGCACAAAGGCAUGAGUACAUAACCGUUAGCUUUAGCUGUACACACACAAUCAACAAUACAAUCUCAGCCUUACACUUGUCAUAAUCUAGACUAAGUGAAUACACAAUUUAAAACAAGGCUUAUUUACUCUAACUUUACUUAGCUCACAGCUUAUACACUAAUACUCCCCUUUAAGCUUUGAGCUGAUACAACUCCAAGCUUAUCUCUGAGAUAGUUGAAUCUAUCUUUUGGUAAGGCCUUUGUAAAAAUGUCUGCUACUUGUUCUUUGGUUGGGCAGUAUACCAAAUCAACAAUUCCUUGCUGCAAGGCAUCCUUUAUGAAGUGAUAUCUUCUGUCAAUGUGUUUAGUCCUUUGGUGAAACACUGGAUUUUUAGAUAUUGAGAUUGCAGAUGUAUUGUCACACUGCAAAGGAGUUGCUUCAGCUUGUAACUCUCCAAAAUCUUCAAGAACAAACCUGAGCCAUAUUGCUUGAGUUGUUGCUUCAGCAACACUUAUAUACUCAGCCUCUGCAGUGGAAAGUGCAACACAAUUCUGUUUCACAUAAGCCCAUGAGAACACUCCACUACCAAAGGAAAACGCAUAGCCUGAGGUACUCUUGCUGUCAUCUACUGAUCCCCCCCAGUCACUAUCACAAAAGCCAACUAAAACUGCCUUCUUGCCUUUCAUAUAAUGCAAACCAUAGUCCAAUGUUCCUUUGACAUAUCUGAGCACUCUCUUAGCUACCCCAUAGUGCUUGUUAGAAGGUCCAUGCAUAUAUCUAGCUAAUAGGCUAGCUGCAUACAUCACAUCUGGCCUUGUAGCAGUAAGAUACAAUAAGCUGCCUACAAGUUUUCUGUACUUCUCUUCAUCUGCAGCACCACUUCCAUCUUCUUUACUUAACUUUUCAGUAGCCACAAGAGGAAUAGAAACAGAUUUGCAUUCUUUCAAUCCAAACUUAUCCAACAAAGCAGAAGCAUACUUCUUUUGAUGAAUGAAAAUGCUAGAUUUUGUUUGAAUCACCCCCAUUCCUAGAAAAUGAUGAAGAAGACCCAAGUCUGACAUCUCAUACUUCUCCUUCAUAUCUUCUUUGAACUCAUCUAGCAUCUCUUGAUUGUUUCCAGUAUACACAAUGUCAUCCACAUAGAUGGAGACAAUUAGUAUAUCAUGUUCUCUCCUUGUUUUAGUGUAGAGAGUUGCUUCACUUAAGCUUUUCUCAAACCCACACUUAGCAAAAUAGCUAUCAAUCUCUCCAUACUAGGCCCUAGGUGCCUGUUUCAAGCCAUAAAGCGCCUUGUAUAGUUUGUAAACCUUAUCUUCCUUGACAUUAAUCACAAACCCUUCAGGUUGAUCAACAUACACUUCUUCCUGCAAUAUUCCAUUUAAGAAAGCAGACUUAACAUCUAAUUGAAAUAGCUUCCAACUUCUUUGUGCAGCAAGAGCAAUCAGUGUUCUGAUUGUAUCCAGUCUAGCAACUGGAGCAAAUGUUUCAUUAUAAUCAAUGCCUGGUUUCUGCACAUACCCUUUAGCAACCAGCCUUGCCUUGUUCUUCUGUACAGAGCCAUCUAAGUUCAACUUAGUUUUGAACACCCAUUUCACACCAAUAACCUGCUUAUCACUUGGUCUGUCUACAAGCUCCCAAGUCUUAUUUUUUUCAAUCAUGGACAGCUCUUCUUCCAUUGCUUUUAUCCAAGCCUUAUCCUGUGCAGCCUCUUCAUAUUUUUCAGGUUCCACAAUGCAGAGAUUGCAUUGUGCUAGAAUGUCAUUUAUGUUUCUCCACUUUAAUGGAGUAUGAUCAUAGGGCUGAGAGAUAUCAACAUGCUCAUGAAUGGCAUUCUCUUGUUCUUCAGCUUGAGAGAAAAUGCAAGGACUAGAAGGACUUCUCUCGACUUCAGUCAACUCAUGUGGAAUCACUUCAAUUCCAUUUUCAGGUUGCUUUGGAACAUAGGUCAUAGCAACAGAAUUUUCUGAAGUUUCCUUCCAGUUCCAGGACUUGGUUUCAUCAAAAACUACAUCCCUUGACAGAAUCAGCUUCUUAGUGCUUGGAUCAAAUACUCUGUACCCUUUCUCACAGGUUGCAUAACCCACAAACACACCUUGGACAGACUUUGCAUCAAGCUUUUGUCUUCUUUCAGCUGGUACAUGCACAUAACAGAGUGAUCCAAACACCUUUAAGUGACCAAUUCCUGGUUUUCUCCCACUAUAAGCUUCAAAAGGAGUCAUGUUAUCAAGGGCUUUUGUAGGUGAUCUGUUUAGAAUAUAGACAGCUGUAUGUACAGCUUCUGCCCAGAGAAAGUAUGACAUGCCUUUAUCAUGAAGCAUUGCCUUAGCCAUCUCUACAACUGUUCUAUUCUUUCUCUCCACUACUCCAUUUUGCUGUGGAGUAUAAGCAAUGGAUAACUGUCUUUGUAUGCCUUCAGAUUCCAACAACUUGCUGAAUUCAGUUGAGAGAAAUUCUCCCCCUCUGUCACUCCUUAGGCAUUUCACUUUGAAUCCACAUUGUAACUCCACCAUUGCCUUGAACUUUCUGAAACAGAUUAGUGCCUCAGACUUGUGUCUUAGGAAAUAAACCCAUGACAUUCUUGUGUGAUCAUCAAUAAGCAACAUGAAAUAUUUAUUCCCAGCAAUUGAUUCAUUUUGCAUGGGACCACACAAAUCUGUGUGUAUCAAUUCUAGGGGAUUCUUAGCUCUCCAAGCUUGUCCUUUUGGAAACCAAUCUCUGUGUUGUUUUCCCAUUUGACAUCCUGCACAUACACCAUUUACAUCUUCAAGAUGUGGAAGACCAUGCACCAUUUCCUUUUCUCUAAGCUGCUUGAGGCUUCUAAGAUUUAGGUGUCCUAGUCUCUUGUGCCAAAUCCAGGUACAUUCAAUCACACUAGCCUUCAAUGCAAUUUGAUCAGCUUGCAUUAGAGACAGAGGGUAGCAUCUGUUACUUUUCAUCUUAACCUUGAUAACUAGACAAUCAAGUGAAGGACCAUCAAAGAUACAACACUCUCUUCCACCAAAUAGCAAAUAAUAUCCAUGUUCAUCCAUCUGUCCCACACUCAACAAAUUUUCCUUCAAACCAGGUAGAAACAUGACUUCCUUGAUGCACUUUCUGCCAGAAUUUGUAUCAAUCAUAAGUGAACCUAUUACAGCAACAUCUACCAGAUUUCCAGUGGGCAUUUGUACUUUUCCAGUGACAUUUGUCCUUACAUCCACAAGAAGCUCAACAUUUCCAGUCAUGUGGUUGCUACAACCACUAUCAAUGUACCAAUUCCCACUCACUUUGACCUCAGUAAUUGCACUGUUAGCAUAGAACAGAUUUCCUGUCACUUCUGCCUGAUUAGCACAGUUUGCCUUCUGAACAACCUUGCCUGCUGUGCAUUCUCUAGCCCAAUGUCCAAACCUAUCACAGUUGUGACAUUUGGAUUGCCCCUUGUAUCGACAUUCUCCAAAAUGAAACUUAGAGCACACCCUGCAUUCUGGCUUAACUGUAUCUUGUUUCAUGAAUCCUGCAGAGGUUGAAUUCUGUGCAGGAUUAGCAAAUGACUUUUGCUGGGACUGAGGCUUUGAAUCCCACUUCUUGCCUUUUCCAUUCCAGUUUUUCUUAGAUCCACUUGACUAAGAAUUACCCUUAUGUUGCUGACCUUUUGAACUCACAGAAAAAGAGCCAAAAGCCUUAUCAGUGGCAUCGACAGUGUGCAUAUCAAAUCGUUGUUCCUGGCUCUUAAGAAUUGCCAGAACCUCCUGUAAUUCAACCUUGUCUAUACACUUCGUAUUCUCAAUCACAAGACAGAUGGGAUCAUAAAGUUUGCUAAGACUUAUUAAAACCUUUUGCACAAGCCUUUCAUUAGGCAAUACCUCACCAAACGUCUUCAUUUGGUUAAUUAGUUCAUUCAACCGUGUAAGAUACUUAGAUAACGUUUCAUCAUCACGCAUCCUAGUAUACUCAAAUUCACGUCGAAGAUUUUGGAGUUUAACUGAUCGUACCUGAUCACCACUGUGAUAUUCACCAUAUAGCAGAUCCCAUGCCAUCUUUGCUGUAUCAGCAUUGGCAAUUCGAGGGAAUAUUAGAUCCGAGACUGCAUUCUGGAUAAUACCCAGAGCUUUCGCAUCUCGCAUGUGUUCUGCCACAGUUUUCUCAUCAUCUUCCUCUUUUGCGCUUCCUUCAGCCAUCUUCUUCUUUGAAUCAGAGAUCGUAACCCCCUUUUCAACUAAUUUCCAUAACCCAUGAGAUUUAAAGAUUGUCACCAUCUUGAUUCUCCAAAACUCGUAGUUCUCACCGGAGAAGAUCGGAGUUCUCACCUCAGAACCUCCAGAUCCAGCCAUCUCUAGGCUUAGAUGAUAUGAAUCUCAAAAUCAAAAUAAAAAACGAUGGGGUUCAGCGAUUUCACCUGAACCAGAACAAUGGGGUUCAGCGAUUUCACCUGAACCAGAACGAGCUUGAGUGCAGCUCGAUUGCAGCAACGUCGCACGGUCUAUGCCCAGAUUUCAGAUCGAACCUAGCUCUGAGGCCAUGUUAGUGUUUGAAUUCUUAGCUGGGUUUCUAUGGAAGAUUAGAGUAGAGAGGAAAAAACAGAGAGAAUAGAGGAAGAUUCAAGCUAUAUGUAUAAUGCUCUACUACUGUCAAAGUCUGAGAGUGAGUGUAUAUUCAGUAUCAAAAUUCACGCACAAAGGCAUGAGUACAUAACCGUUAGCUUUAGCUGUACACACACAAUCAACAAUACAAUCUCAGCCUUACACUUGUCAUAAUCUAGACUAAGUGAAUACACAAUUUAAAACAAGGCUUAUUUACUCUAACUUUACUUAGCUCACAGCUUAUACACUAAUACCUUUCCUGGUGAACAGAAAAACCUGUUACAAAUUAUUGUAAUGAUAUAUAUAGAUAAGUCGUGGCCCAAUGUUUUUGGAUUCAUGUGGC